AGUCGAGCGAACGUUUUAAGGAGCUUGCUUCUUAAAACGUUAGCGGCGGACGGGUGAGUAACACGUGGGCAACCUGCCCUGCAGAUGGGGAUAACUCCGGGAAACCGGGGCUAAUACCGAAUAAUCAGUUUGUCCGCAUGGACGAACUCUGAAAGACGGCUUCGGCUGUCACUGCAGGAUGGGCCCGCGGCGCAUUAGCUAGUUGGUGGGGUAACGGCCUACCAAGGCGACGAUGCGUAGCCGACCUGAGAGGGUGAUCGGCCACACUGGGACUGAGACACGGCCCAGACUCCUACGGGAGGCAGCAGUAGGGAAUCUUCCACAAUGGACGAAAGUCUGAUGGAGCAACGCCGCGUGAGCGAAGAAGGUUUUCGGAUCGUAAAGCUCUGUUGUGAGGGAAGAACAAGUACGGGAGUAACUGUCCGUACCUUGACGGUACCUCAUUAGAAAGCCACGGCUAACUACGUGCCAGCAGCCGCGGUAACACGUAGGUGGCAAGCGUUGUCCGGAAUUAUUGGGCGUAAAGCGCGCGCAGGCGGUCCUUUAAGUCUGAUGUGAAAGCCCACGGCUCAACCGUGGAAGGUCAUUGGAAACUGGAGGACUUGAGUACAGAAGAG
rnacentral:rRNA from 1 species